rnacentral:rRNA from 1 species
AGAGUUUGAUCCUGGCUCAGGACGAACGCUGGCGGCGUGCCUAACACAUGCAAGUCAAAGGGAAGUAACUUCGGUUAUGAGUACUUGGCGCAAGGGUGAGUAAUGUAUAGGUAAUUUGCCUUUUGGACUGAAAUAACUCCGAGAAAUCGGAGACAAUGUCAGAUGAUGCAGCGGAACCGCAUGGUUAUGUUGUUAAAGAUUUAUCGCCAAAAGAUGAGCCUAUAUCCCAUCAGGUAGUUGGUAGGGUAAAAGCCUACCAAGCCUACGACGGGUAGCUGGUCUGAGAGGAUGAUCAGCCACAUUGGAACUGAGACACGGUCCAGACUCCUACGGGAGGCAGCAGUGAGGAAUAUUGCGCAAUGGGGGAAACCCUGACGCAGCCACGCCGCGUGUGUGAUGAAGGCCCUCGGGUCGUAAAGCACUGUCGGGAGGGACGAAGUUCUGACGGUACCUCCCAAGAAAGCACCGGCUAACCCUGUGCCAGCAGCCGCGGUAA